AUACGGAGGAUGCAAGCGUUAUCCGGAUUUAUUGGGUUUAAAGGGUGCGUAGGCUGUUCGGAAAGUCAGGGGUGAAAGCCCGGCGCCUAACGCCGGAACUGUCUUUGAUACUUCCGAGCUGGAAUACGGAUGCCGUGGGAGGAAUGAGUAGUGUAGCGGUGAAAUGCAUAGAUAUUACUCAGAACACCGAUUGCGAAGGCAUCUCACGAAUCCGUCAUUGACGCUGAGGCACGAAAGCGUGGGGAUCAAACAGGAUUAGAUACCCUGGUAGUCCACGCAGUAAACGAUGAUGACUAACCGUCGGCGAUACACAGUCGGUGGCCAAGCGAAAGCGAUAAGUCAUCCACCUGGGGAGUACGUUCGCAAGAAUGAAACUCAAAUGAAUUGGCGGGG
rnacentral:rRNA from 1 species